UGUCAAGGCAUUGAAAAAUAGGUCACGGGUUCUUUGGAAAACUGGUAUGGGAUGGGAAGAAAAUUGAGACGUCAAAUAUAAUUAGGUCAUCUUAAUGCAAUAUUAUAGUGUCAUUUCUUUGUGAUGUUCCUGUAUGUGUGAAGUGCUGAAAGUAUGCAAAUGUUUAAGUUGUUCAAAUUUGACAAUCAGAUACAUGAAACUAUUAAGGUUUGUGGUUAGGAUUAUUUUGUUCAUUGAUUCACUGGGGGGCUUGUGUGUAUGUUGUCUAUGGAGAAGAAGAAAAGAGUCUGAAUAAUUGGCACAAAAUGUUUUACAAAAAAUCAAAUCAGCAAUGCAUUAGUGUCUAUACAUGCAAGGAGAUAUCAUCCUGAUGUAGUGCGUUGUCACUUGAGUUAUACUGUCGCUCUCCUGCUGCAUAUGAGCACAUACGCAGCAAAGCUCUAGGGUUGCCAUCAAUAUCAAUUAUAAAAAGUUACAGAUACAGAUUUAACUUAUUGCGCCAUUCUAACAUUUACUAUAACGAAUAGUUUAACAAGAGAGCCUAGCUCUAAUGGAUGAGUACGUAUGAUUUAAACAUUAAGAUAGAUGAUAUCAGUUAAAGAAGCACCGAGUGGUCUCACUGCCGCUAUUGUGAGUCCAAAAUCAAGCAAACACACCGACGUUUCAAUGUGUUUGGACAAUUAUGUUUUGUUGCAAGCGUAAAAUAGUUAAACAUACUGUUUAUGUUUUGUUGCAAACGUAAAAUAGCUUAUAUAUACCCUGUCAAACAUCUAAAAAUAUAAAAUAACCCAUUGGGUUUAAACGAACUUGUUAAGUUUUAUUUGCGUUUUCCUGUUGUGGGAAGGUAUAAAAUAGCUUGUAUUAUUCUUUUAAUACAUUUUUUUGCGAAAUAAUAUAAUACUUACCCCUAUUAAAUAACUAAAAUUUCACGCUUCUAGAUCUUGUUUUUGAUUUUUUUCAAAACAGAAAACAAAUUACCGAUGUGUUUUAGACUUUCAAACUUUUAGGUUAGUUUUUAAGUCCAAGCUUUACCUCAAUUUACUUUUUACGUAACAUUCUAUUGGCUGUGGGAGAUUUUUUCUAUUAGGAUGUCGCAAAAA